rnacentral:rRNA from 1 species
GUGGGGAAUAUUGGACAAUGGGCGCAAGCCUGAUCCAGCAAUGCCGCGUGGAUGAAGAAGGUCUUCGGAUUGUAAAGUCCUUUCGGCGGGGACGAUGAUGACGGUACCCGCAGAAGAAGCCCCGGCUAACUUCGUGCCAGCAGCCGCGGUAAUACGAAGGGGGCUAGCGUUGCUCGGAAUGACUGGGCGUAAAGGGCGCGUAGGCGGAUUGAUCAGUCAGGCGUGAAAUUCCUGGGCUUAACCUGGGGGCUGCGUUUGAGACGGUUGGUCUAGAGUGGGGAAGAGGGUCGUGGAAUUCCCAGUGUAGAGGUGAAAUUCGUAGAUAUUGGGAAGAACACCGGUGGCGAAGGCGGCGACCUGGUCCUUGACUGACGCUGAGGCGCGAAAGCGUGGGGAGCAAACAGGAUUAGAAACCCUAGUAGUCC